CCACCAGCCCUCGCCCCCCUGCAUACCCCAAACUUCCAGCCGUCUGGCCCUCGCCUCCCAUAUCAUCUUGAACUCAUGCUCAGGCCCCUCCCAGCGAACAGACCCCAGUGGCCAUCUUACCUCUCCAUGAGGUGGCAGGGCCUGAAGGCCUCGUUCCCGUUCACAUCCCCUUCUCCCUCCAAGACUUGUCCACCAUCGAAAAGCGACUAGGGUCAUUCUCAGCAGAUCCCACCCAAUACAUUAAGGAAUUCCAAUACCUCACCCAAGCCUACAAUCUCACAUGGCAUGGCAUUCAUGUGAUCCUCACCUCUACCCUCACCCCUGAGGAGAGGGAGCGCAUCCAGGCUGCAGCCAGAGAGCAUGCAAACCAAACCCACAUGACUGACCCCACUAUGCCCGUAGGAGCCAAUGCUGUCCCGGCGGCCAAUCCCAAUUGGAACUACCAUCAUGCAGGCAAUGGUCACCGGCGCCGGGACCAGAUGAUCCAAUGCCUACUAGCAGGCAUGAGAGCAACCUCAAACAAAUCAGUAAAUUUUAACAAACUUCAAGAAAUAAUACAAGACCCCCAUGAAAACCCCGCAGCCUUCCUUAGCUGGCUCACAGAGGCACUUACCCAAUAUACCAGACUAGACCCUACCACCCCCGCCGGGGCCACGGUAUUAGCCACCUAUUUUAUUUCCCAAUCAGCCCCUAAUAUUCGAAAAAAACUAAAAAGGGCCGAAGACAGCCCUAAAACCCCUAUGGCCGACCUGGUAAAGAUGGCCUUUAAAGUUUUUAAUGGCCGAGAGGAAGCUCAAGAACAACGGCGACAGGCCCGUCUCCAACAAAAGGUACAAUUACAAACCCAAGCCUUGGUAGCUGUCCUGAGGCCAGCCGCAGUAAAGCCCUCUGGACCACGGCCCCCUCCGGGGCCUUGUUUUAAAUGUGGCCAAGAAGGCCAUUGGUCUCGUCAGUGUCCCCAUCCCAAAAAGCCUACCAGUCCAUGCCCAUUGUGCCAGCAAAUGGGCCACUGGAAAUCCGACUGUCCUAACCCAAGGGACGACAGACUCGCAAUGCCUCCACAUGGCGAGGCUUCACCCGGAUUGGACUCUGCCUUCCAGCUCCUGGAGAUGGAGGAUGACAACUGACGAGGCCCAGACUCAGUAACUCCGGUGACCCACGCUGAGCCCAGGGUAAAACUCCAGGUAGCGGGUAAGGUGGAUAGAAGCCUUCCCCACCUCAUCUGAAGGGGCCUCCACAGUGGCUGAGAUCCUACUCAAGGACAUCAUUCCCCGCUUUGGUCUACCAAGAAGGAUACAGUCUGACAACGGGCCUGCUUUCAUCUCAGCAGUCACCCAACUGGUCUCCAAAGCUUUGGGUAUUACUUGGAAACUCCACAUACCAUACCACCCCCAGUCCUCGGGUAAGGUUGAAAGGGCCAGUGGCCUCAUAAAAGACCAUCUCACUAAACUCCCCAUAGAGACUCGGCUUUCUUGGCCUCAACUCCUACCUAUAUCACUCACCUGACUCUGAGCCACUCCCUGAGGACCCACAGGCCUCAGCCCAUUUGAACUCCUAUAUGGGCGACCCUUCCUGUUACCCCAACCCCUACCAAAAGAUCCUCCUCCUUUGGCUGCCUAUCUCCCUUACCUCAGCCUGCUCCAACACCUGAUUCGACAGUACGCUGACCUCACUCUACCAGCUCCCAUAGAUCUCUCAUCUCCCUCACUAUCUGUAAAUCCAGGAGACUCAGUGCUCCUUCAAGUAAGACAAAAACCAAGCCUUGCCCCCUGGUGGGAGGGUCCCUACACAGUCAUACAACCCCCACGGCUGCUAAAUUAUUGGGCCACACCCCGUGGGUUCACACCUCCGACCUCAAAUGGGCCCCCCCUUUACCCCCUAUACCGGAAGAGUCGUGGACCUCCCAACCAACCGGCCCCCUCACCCUCAAACUAACCCGACAGGCCCCUUCAUGACGGACCCUUCCCCUCGGUUUUCCACCUUCACACUCACAAUAUUACACGAGCUACAACUCUCCCACUCAUCCGAACCCAUCACCCUCCCCUUAUUUCUCUCCUGGGUCUCUGACUGUUGGCUUCAGGGAACUCUCUCCGAUUUCUCCCCCGUCAAAAUCUCCUUCUUUACCUUUUUACUAACCAUACUUAUAUAUCAUGAUGAUACUUCCCUUGUAACUCCUUGUUAACAUCAUCCCCCUCAUGCCCUCACAACCCUCCUAUAGGUGGGUUUUUUACCUAUCCGAAACUUUUAAUGGACACACCUCUAUCAUAUCCUCUACCCCUUGUCCCAUUGUUGGGUGCCAAAAUCAAGUCACCUUUAAAUUCCCCUCUUUCAACACCCUCCAAGCCUCUACACAGAUUACUCCCGCCAUUUGCUUUUUAUAUGACCAAACCAACAAGAUAUGCUCCCAAACCUCCCCCAACCAAUAUGGAGGAUGCC